AGUGAACGCUGGCGGUAGGCCUAACACAUGCAAGUCGAACGGCAGCACAGAGGAGCUCGCUCCUUGGGUGGCGAGUGGCGGACGGGUGAGGAAUACAUCGGAAUCUACUCUGUCGUGGGGGAUAACGUAGGGAAACUUACGCUAAUACCGCAUACGACCUACGGGUGAAAGCAGGGGAUCUUCGGACCUUGCGCGAUUGAAUGAGCCGAUGUCGGAUUAGCUAGUUGGCGGGGUAAAGGCCCACCAAGGCGACGAUCCGUAGCUGGUCUGAGAGUAUGAUCAGCCAAACUGGAACUGAGACACGGUCCAGACUUCUACGGGAGGCAGAAGUGGGGAAUAUUGGACAAUGGGCGCAAGCCUGAUCCAGCCAUACCGCGUGGGUGAAGAAGGCCUUCGGGUUGUAAAGCCCUUUUGUUGGGAAAGAAAUCCAUCUGGUUAAUACCCGGGUGGGAUGACGUUACCCAAAGAAUAAGCACCGGCUAACUUCGUGCCAGCAGCCGCCGUAA
rnacentral:rRNA from 1 species